CCUACGGGAGGCAGCAGUGGGGAAUAUUGCGCAAUGGGCGAAAGCCUGACGCAGCGACGCCGCGUGAGGGAUGAAGGUCUUCGGAUUGUAAACCUCUGUCAGCAGGGAAGAACGGUCACGGUGCUAAUCAGCAGUGAAUUGACGGUACCUGCAAAGGAAGCACCGGCUAACUCCGUGCCCGCAGCCGCGGUAAUACGGAGGGUGCGAGCGUUAAUCGGAAUUACUGGGUGUAAAGCGCUCGUAGGCGGUAUGUCAAGUCAAGGGUGAAAUCCCCGAGCUCAACGUGGGAACUGCCUUUGAAACUGGCAAACUGGAGUGUAGGAGAGGAUAGUGGAAUUCCAGGUGUAGGGGUGAAAUCCGUAGAUAUCUGGAGGAACAUCAGUGGCGAAGGCGACUAUCUGGACCGUAACUGACGCUGAGGAGCGAAAGCGUGGGUAGCAAACAGGAUUAGAUACCCCAGUAGUC
rnacentral:rRNA from 1 species